rnacentral:rRNA from 1 species
AUUGAACGCUGGCGGCAUGCCUUACACAUGCAAGUCGAACGAGAUCUUCGGGUCUAGUGGCGCACGGGUGCGUAACGCGUGGGAAUCUGCCCUUUGGUUCGGAAUAACAGUUGGAAACGACUGCUAAUACCGGAUGAUGACGAAAGUCCAAAGAUUUAUCGCCAGAGGAUGAGCCCGCGUAGGAUUAGCUAGUUGGUGUGGUAGAGGCGCACCAAGGCGACGAUCCAUAGCUGGUCUGAGAGGAUGAUCAGCCACACUGGGACUGAGACACGGCCCAGACUCCUACGGGAGGCAGCAGUGGGGAAUAUUGGACAAUGGGCGAAAGCCUGAUCCAGCAAUGCCGCGUGAGUGAUGAAGGCCUUAGGGUUGUAAAGCUCUUUUACCCGGGAUGAUAAUGACAGUACCGGGAGAAUAAGCUCCGGCUAACUCCGUGCCAGCCGCCGCGGUAACAC